rnacentral:rRNA from 1 species
CACGCAGGCGGUCUGCUACAUCUUGGGUGACAGGUCCCGGCUCAACUGGGGCAGUAUCCGGGAAAUGGGCAGACUUGAGGACUUCAGAGGGACGCGGAAUUCCAGGUGGAGCGGUGAAAUGCGUAGAGAUCUGGAAGAACACCGAUGGGCGAAGGCAGCGUCCUGGGAAGUCUCUGACGCUCAGGUGCGAAAGCUAGGGGAGCGAACGGGAUUAGAUACCCCGGUAGUCCUAGCUGUAAACGAUGACCACUAGACGUGGGGGGUAUCGACCCCUUCCGUGUCGAAGCAAACGCGAUAAGUGGUCCGCCUGGGGAGUACGGUCGCAAGAUUAAA